GAUGAACGCUAGCGGGAGGCUUAAUACAUGCAAGUCGAGCGGUAAGGUCUUCGGACCCUAGAGCGGCGCACGGGUGAGUAACGCGUACGAAACCUGCCUUUAAGAGAGGGAUAGCCCUGGGAAACUGGAGUAAUACCUCAUAGUAUUCGAUUUCUGCAUGGGAAUUGGAUUAAAGCUGAGGCGCUCAAAGAUGGUCGUGCGUCUGAUUAGCUAGUUGGUAGGGUAACGGCCUACCAAGGCGACGAUCAGUAGGGGGCGUGAGAGCGUGGCCCCCCAAACGGGUACUGAGACACGGACCCGACUCCUACGGGAGGCAGCAGUAAGGAAUAUUGGGCAAUGGACGGAAGUCUGACCCAGCCAUCCCGCGUGCAGGAAGAAUGCCCUAUGGGUUGUAAACUGCUUUUGUUUGGGAAGAAGUGUACUUUUUUAAGAGUAUUUGACGGUACCAGACGAAUAAGCACCGGCUAACUCCGUGCCAGCAGCCGCAGUAA
rnacentral:rRNA from 1 species